rnacentral:rRNA from 1 species
AGGACGAACGCUGGCGGCGUGCUUAACACAUGCAAGUCGAGCGGAAAGGCCCUUCGGGGUACUCGAGCGGCGAACGGGUGAGUAACACGUGAGUAAUCUGCCCCUAGCUCUGGGAUAGCUCCGGGAAACCGGGAUUAAUACCAGAUACGACCACUUUAGACAUCUGUUGUGGUGGAAAGAAUUUCGGCUAGGGAUGAACUCGCGGCCUAUCAGCUUGUUGGUGGGUAAUGGCCUACCAAGGCGACGACGGGUA